AUAAUACCUUCAUCUUUUUUUGUUUUACUCAAGCUAUUCCAAUCAUAUCUCUGGUAACUGCUGUUUAGUUAUUACACAGUUUAUACUGUACAACCAUCCAGUUUAAAACUAGGUCCUACUGCUAAUUCUGUGCUGCAGCAUACAUAGUGGGAUGUCAGAUGUCUGUAUGAAAUAUUACACCAGCCAGAAUUUAUGUGACCAAACCACAUGCUGUUGUAUGUCUCAAUACAUUAUUGGUACCUUGAGACUUUUUAAAAUGUAUUUUAAAUAGGUCUUCAUUGGACAACAAAUGAAAUAUCUGGCUUUCUGGAUCCACACUAUCCCAUUGUGGCAUGUGAUUUUAAAAAUCAGGACUGUUUUGUAAUAUUGGACCCCAAAGGUGCAUGCUGGCCUAGACUUAGCUUAGCCAAGAUGAGUGGGGUCUACUGGGCAACAUGCUGCACUUUUUAGCAUACAAGACAUCCCCAAACGAGAUACAUACCUUGUUUUUGAAAGGCAGCAUCAGGAAAAAAGAUCUUUCCUUGAAAAUACUGGUAAGUAGCAGUAAAGUAACUGAGUAGCAGCUUCUGCAGCAGGAACCUGUAGCAGCAAGUUGAGUAGGGGUUGGAGAGAAAGUAUCCACAAUUGACAGCUAGAGAGCCCCAUGAGUUGCACUGCAGCCUUACUUUUGCAUUCCCUGGCACAGGCAGAAACUGCUAUUGCCAUAGUUCCUUGCUUAUAACAUAUUUCCCAGCAGCUGAGCUUUUUUGAGGAAAAAAGGUGCGUGUUGUAUCUGAGAAAAUACAGCAUAUGGUUUGGGACACAGGGCUGGUUUUGUUUCCUCUUUCCUCAUGUGGGUACUGCUGACCUCAGUGGAAAUAGCCAUUUUGGAAAGAAAGGAAGGAUGUAGUCCCAUCUGAGGUAAAAACCAAUGGGCUGCAUUCAUUCCUAGAGUAACUACUGAAGAUGGUGGAGCUACGCUAGGGUGAAGAAGAACCAGCAUCUCCACAGAUUCACUUGUCCUCAAGAGCCCAUACUAAUCAUCCCAUUGCAGUAUUAAUUUUAUAUGUGGAAUUAAUGUUGGGACUUUGCUUGGAUCCAGCUUCAUAGAUCUACUUGGUCUUCAAGCAGUGGGCCUGUGCGAGCCAGCUACCCCAAUGGCCAACCUGUUUUGCUCUGCUCCCUGUGUCAAGGAACCAAGAGUAACACUUUGCAGGGGAACAUUUUGCCCAAGGAUUUGUUCUGUCAGCUCCAUCAGAACUCACCAAACAAAUUGACCUCUACCACCUAGGGUCAGGACCCUUCUCCCAAGGACCAUCUUUUCCACAGCCUUUUCACCCACCAGUGGAAAGAAGUUUCAAGGUCUAAUCUGAACCUGGAUGGAAACAGCCUCAUGCACUUCCCUUUCUCCUUCUCUGCAUGUUAGUCAUCUUACUUGGGGGCAAUGUCUCUGUGGGAUCCAGUGGGAUCAUCUUCCUGCAAUCCAUAGCCAGCCUCUACUGACAGGUACAUCACCACCUAUGCAAGACUUUCAGAAACUGCUGAGGCGUCAGUCCAUUCUAAUGCGCAGUGUGCGCUUCUGGCAUUGGUAACAAGCACCACUGCUGUCAGAAACCAAUGUUGUUUUUAUUUCUUUCCCCUCAAGGCCUUGAGGAAAGACUUCCACCCGCACUCUGUACCCCAACUCCUUUUCUGUUUUGUAGACUUAAGACUUUCCAUGGGCAAAGCCAAACUUCUGAGAACACAGGUGCCCUUCUUGGAAUAUCACCAGUCCCUGGAAAUUGGGAAUAUUGUGGAUCACCCACUGUGAUUAUACUUUAGUGAAUUUUGUAGAACAAAGUAUUGCUCAUCCACAGAUAUACCUGGGGAUCUCUCACACUCCAUCAGUGCAAGCUGCUUUGCAAUCUUAGGUCUUCUCUUAGUGAAAGAAACAGUGUAGCUAGAAUGUGUCAAGACGACUUAGUAUUUGUAUCAGUCACAUGAUCCUAGUGUCCAUUAGCUGCACUGUCAGCUGACAUCUAAUGAGUUCCGACUUUGGAUAGCAGCCCACGAAUCAAUCAGGGGGAAAAGGAUUCAAAACACAGGCUUAAGAGCACAGACAAGUCUCCAGAAACAGAAGCAGAUGCAUGAGAUCAGGUGAUAACAGAUGUAUUCCUCCUGUUCAAGUCAGCGAGAGGCUUUUUUUGGUCUGCGUUUUCCUCUAGGGAACAAUCUGGCCUCGAGAGAGGUGGCGGGUGGCGGGAGGGAAAUUAUCUAAUGGGUUCAGUGAAAUUGCACUUAUGCUACUGUAGAGCUGGUUGAAAACAAAACAAUCAGUCCCACAAGAUUUUUAAAAAUGAUUUCUUCAAAAUAUAGUUAAUCAGAAAGACCCAUACUGUUUAGUUUAAUGUUUUGGGUUCUCUUGGCUAUGUCCACAUGGUUAAUUUGCCAUGCCCAGCUGUGUCACCCCCCAAGAGCAGUGUGCUGGCUCAGGCAGGUUGCCUCCUAAAUCACAAGCAGUGCAGCCAUAGGCAGUAGGUUGUCUGCAAGACCCAGGAUUCCCCAGGGGUCUCCCAUCCAAGUACUAGCAAGGCCCAGGACUGUUUAGCUUUCAUGUUUAGUCAACAUCAGUGCAUUCAGUCUGUUAUGGCUGGCCAUAGAUGGGCUAGCUAGGGACAGGCUAAAUGAACUGUCCAUUGGCAGUGCUCACUUCCCAAGUGAAGCAUAGCUACGCUGAUUUUGGUUUAGGAGACAGCUUUGGAGGAACAGUGCAGUUGACUUGAGGGCAGCCAGGCAGUAUGAAUUUAGGAUGGACUGGGGCCUUUUUAUUUGUUGAAACUUUAAUGUAUUCAAAACCCUUCACAUUUGGAAAAUUUCUACCAGCUCUACUAAAUAGUGAGGACUUAGUGGCAGAGAAUAAAAAGAAUAGGAAAGGAAGGUAGAAUUGGACUGCCAUUGUCUCUGUAUCAAUGACAGUCCAGCACCAAGGGGAGAUCGAGCAUAGAGGCAGGUGUCUGGGCACCCAUCUAUAUUGUUAUGCCUCUGCUUUGUGCAAAGGUAGUUGUGGAAUAUCUUGUUUGCUGUGGUCAGUGGUUAUGUGCAGGGAUGGGCAGUGAGACAGGGACAGAGGCAAUAGCCAUAUCAUGAGAAAGGCUUUAGAACACAUCAAGACCCCUUUGAGCUGUGUUGGAAAGCCUUGGUUCUUUAGUCACCAUAGCACAUCCAUAAUCCUUUACAUCCUGCUGCUUAUACUGGUUUGCUUCUCCUGCAGGAAACUUUCCCACUGUCUACUACUUUCCCACCCUGGCCUUGAACAAGUGAUAGGCAGAUGCUUCAGAGCCUCAAAAAACUAAAAGAGAAAAGGCACCAAAUUAAUCUGAAGCUGAAAAGGUCUGCCAUUUGGGUUUUCCAGACCUCCAGGACUCAGAACCUGGAGGAAAACUGCUCUCCCUGAACAGAAGGCCCUGAUAAAUAAUGCAGAGGAGAACCAGUCCAGCUGCUUUAAUUUAGGACUAUAACAGGGAGCCUGGGGCUCCUGUUACUUCAGGAAGGAAAAAAAAAACAGUAGCAGGCAGCCUAACCAGGGCUAGCUGCAAAGGAAUAGGCAGCCAGAGGCCAGAAGCUGAGAGGAACUAUUGCCAUACUGGUUGCACAGCAGUAGUACUAUAGGAUAGAGCCCUGCCAAAGCAACAGAGGCACAGCUAUGGUAGGUAGCUGGGGCAGCAGCAACAAGCUGUCCAGUAGAAAGAGAGAAGCAGCUGUGCCAGGACUAGCAAGUCACUUGACCAGGAGUGGGCAGGACUUGAGUGGCAUAUAAGCCUGGGCCUGUGCCAAGCCAGGUGAUCUGGCCCUGGAAGCUGCAGUGGGAAGAGCUCUGUAGCUAUAACACAAGCUGAGGUUUGCAUGCAAAUAGGAACUGGAAAGUAAGGCACUGAGGUCUGGCAGGGAGCUGGGACUCAGGAUGGAAAUGAUUUUUGUUAUGCAGCUAAGGGGUUAUGGUUACAGUCACAGUGCUUAGGGUUUUGGUGCAGUUAAACUAGUGGUCUGGGAGGGGACUGAAGGGGAUGUUUGGAGGUCCCAGUGGUAACUGAGGGACUUGUGGAUACCUUGAGUCUUUCCAAAGGGUAGGGGCUUGACUGCAGCAAGAGAAAGA